rnacentral:lncRNA from 1 species
CAAUACGGUCCUUCUCUAAUACAAUACUCUUAAUCACAUUGUUUGAGUGAUAGUUUGUUUCAUGUCAACUAUCCAAUGUGAUACAUAUCUAUAUGAUUCCCUUGAAUAUGAUUUGGAACAAACUUCCUAAGUCAUAUUCAUAUGCUUUGGCCAAAGACUUUAGAAUCAUAUCUUAGAGUACACUCCUUCCACCAUGGAAGGUUAGAGAUCCCUUGUUGUGCAUUCAUAUGCCUACAUGACUAGAUAGCUUGACCC